UUUCUGCUGGUGUAAAGCACACUUGGCUUCCAACCAAGAAGACCUUCUAAAAAGGGCAGAAAA
rnacentral:tRNA from 1 species